rnacentral:ncRNA from 1 species
CAGAGUAGAAACCGAUGCGUAAAGUGUUUCGCGGACGGGGAGUUGCCGCGAAAACGAAAGGGAGGCGCGCCUUGCCUGCGGUAUCGGGUUCGCAUCCCGCUG